rnacentral:rRNA from 1 species
CCUGGCGGCCUUAGCGCGGUGGUCCCACCUGACCCCAUGCCGAACUCAGAAGUGAAACGCCGUAGCGCCGAUGUAGUGUGGGGUCUCCCCAUGCGAGAGUAGGGAACUGCCAGGC